rnacentral:rRNA from 1 species
UACGGAGGGUGCAAGCGUUAUCCGGAUUCACUGGGCUUAAAGGGUGCGUAGGCGGGCAGGCAAGUCCGUGGUGAAAUCUCCGAGCUUAACUCGGAAACUGCCAUGGAUACUAUUUGUCUUGAAUGUUGUGGAGGUGAGCGGAAUAUGUCAUGUAGCGGUGAAAUGCUUAGAUAUGACAUAGAACACCAACUGCGAAGGCAGCUCACUGCACAAAUAUUGACGCUGAGGCACGAAAGCGUGGGGAUCAAACAGG